UGAAGCAAAACAUACAGUUUUGAGGUGGAAAGGAAUAUGCAAAUUCAUGGUUUUCUAUGGAACCACUAGAAUGAAUAUUGUUUUUUAAAAUCAGGACUUCUGUGCUGCUGAGAUCAUUAUGGAAGCAACAGUAGCAGGUGGCCUGGCCAUGUAAGGAUUCUCACUCUCAGCAGAGAAUGUUGCUGCCACUCAAAGUCACCAGGGGCUGGAAGAGCUCCUGCUGAGACCCACAUCAUCUAAAAACACACAUGCUUAGAACAGGGAAAUGUGCAUUUUCAAGAGAGGGAGAGACAAACCUUUUGUUUAGCUAAUUGGCAUGACAGAGUGUGGGAUACAUGUGCUCCUGGAAGAAAGGUGUCAGGUGUCUGGGGCCCCAAAUCCUCAGCCCAGGUGAUCCAUCAGAGGACGGUCUCAGUGGCAGCUAUUUUUAUCAGGGAAGGGGUGCUAAUAUUUCCUUUGCAUUUAAAAAAUAAGAGA
rnacentral:lncRNA from 1 species